rnacentral:rRNA from 1 species
AUCAACGCUGGCGGCGUGUCUAACACAUGCAAGUCGAACGCGAAAAGCCCCGCAAGGGGUGAGUAAGAGUGGCGUACGGGUGAGUAACACGUGGGUGACUCUACCUUCGAUGGGGGAAUAACGUCCCUGGAAACGGGACGCUAAUACCGCAUACAUCCUGCUUUGAACAGUGGAGAUCAAGCCGGGAUCGCAAGACCUGCGUUUGAAGAGGAGCCCGCGGCUGAUUAGCUAGUUGGUGAGGUAACUGGCCUCACCAAGGCGACGAUCAGUAGCCGGCCUGAGAGGGCUGAUCGGACACACUGGGAACUGAGACACGGUCCCAGACUCCUACGGGAGGCAGCAGUGGGGAAUUGUUCGCAAUGGGCGCAAGCCUGACGACAGCAACGCCGCGUGGAGGAUGAAGGUCUUCGGAUUGUAAACUCCUGUUCAGCCCGGGACGAAAGCGCUUCGGACCGACAGCGUCGAAGGAUUGACGGUACCUGGUAGAGGAAGCCCCGGCUAACUCUGUGCCAGCAGCCGCGGUAAUACAGAGGGGGCAAGCGUUAUUCGGAAUUACUGGGCGUAAAGGCGCACGUAGGCGGCUAUCUAAGUCAGGAACGUGAAAUCCCCGGGGCUCAACCCGGGAACUGCCUUCGAUACUGGAUAUCUUGAGUCGGAAGAGGUAAGUGCGGAAUUGCCGAGGUGUAGCGGUGAAAUUCGUAGAUAUCUGGAGGAACACCAGUGGCGAAGGCGGCAUCCUGGACCGGCAUAUGACGCUGAGGCGCGAAAGCCGUGGGGAGCAAACAGGGAUUAGAUACCCCUGGUAGUCCACUGCCCGUAAACGAUGGAAUGCUUAGCCGUGGCGGGUGAUCUAUCACUCCGGUGGCCGAAGCUAACGCAUUAAGCUUCCCGCCUGGGGAGUACGGUCGCAAGGCUUAAACUCAAAGGAAUUGACGGGGGCCCGCACAAGCGGUGGAGCAUGUGGUUCAAUUCGACGCAACGCGAAGAACCUUACCCAGGCUUGAACUGCGAGUGACAUCCUACGAAAGUAGGCUUCCGCAAGGACACUCGUAGAGGUGCUGCAUGGCUGUCGUCAGCUCGUGUCGUGAGAUGUUGGGUUAAGUCCCGCAACGAGCGCAACCCUUGUCUUCUGUUGCCAUCGGGUUAUGCCGGGCACUCUGAAGAGACUGCCGGUGACAAACCGGAGGAAGGUGGGGAUGACGUCAAGUCAGCAUGGCCUUUAUGUCUGGGGCUACACACGUGCUACAAUGGCCGGUACAAACCGUCGCGAGCCCGUGAGGGGGAGCUAAUCGGAGAAAGCCGGUCUCAGUUCGGAUUGUAGGCUGCAACUCGCCUGCAUGAAGUUGGAAUCGCUAGUAAUCGCGGAUCAGCACGCCGCGGUGAAUACGUUCCCGGGCCUUGUACACACCGCCCGUCACAUCACGAAAGCCGGCUGUACUAGGAAGUCGCUGCGCUAACCCGCAAGGGAGGCAAGCGCCUAAGGUAUGGUCGGUGAUUGGGGUG